rnacentral:rRNA from 1 species
AAUCAACGCUGGCGGCGUGCCUCAGACAUGCAAGUCGAACGAUUAAAGCUCUCUUCGGAGAGUGCAUAGAGUGGCGCACGGGUGAGUAACACGUAAGUAAUCUACCUUCGAGUGGGGAAGUAACAUCGGGAACCGGAUGCUAAUACCGCAUAAUGCAGCGGCAUCGCAAGAUGACAGUUGUUAAAGGAGCAAUUCGCUUGAAGAGGAGCUUG